rnacentral:rRNA from 1 species
AUUGAACGCUGGCGGCAUGCUUUACACAUGCAAGUCGAACGGCAGCACGGGGGCAACCCUGUGGCGAGUGGCGAACGGGUGAGUAACACAUCGGAACGUGCCCAGUUGUGGGGGAUAACCUAUCGAAAGGUAGGCUAAUACCGCAUGAGCUCGGCAAGAGGAAAGCGGGGACUCAGCGAUGGGCCUCGCGCGACUGGAGCGGCCGAUGUCCGAUUAGCAGUUGGUGGGGUAAGGCUUACCAAGGCGACGAUCGGUAGCUGGUCUGAGAGGAUGAUCAGCCACACUGGGACUGAGAC